AUGCGAUUCCUUGUCUCCGGAGACAAUCCCGCAGCUCUGGAAGGUGUCCGGUCCCAGGUGCAGCUAGUGGAGUCCGGAGGGGAUGUGAAAAAGCCCGGAGACUCUCUCCGCCUCUCCUGCAAAGCCUCCGGCUUCACCUUCAGCAGCUACCUUAUGCAUUGGGUCCGACAGGCUCCCGGGAAGGGGCUGGAGUGGGUGGCUGAGAUUAGGCCCGAUGGAUCGAGCCAGUCGUAUUUCCCUGCUGUUCAAGGGCGAUUCACCAUCUCCAGGGACAAUUCCAAGAGUGAGCUGUAUCUGCAAAUGACCGAACUGAGAACCGAGGACACCGCCCGCUAUUACUGUGGCAGACACUCCUGUGGAGGGUCCGCCUGCGAGAGGUCCACCGAAGCCACGGGAUCAACGGACCCUCCUCCAGCUGAGCGCUUGGCGUGCUGUGAGAACUCCAACAACCUGCUGUAUCUGCAAGUGACUGGCCUGAAGCCCAAAGACACCGACCGAUGUGCUGGCCCCUCGCACACCCCCGAAAUUCAGGAUUGA